CUUUAGAUUGCUAAUCUAACGUACGUUGUAAAAUGUACCGUGGGUUCGAAUCCCAUCCUCUCCU
rnacentral:tRNA from 1 species